rnacentral:rRNA from 1 species
AUGGCGUCUUCAUCUCUGUCAGUGGUGCUGCUCCUUCUGUGCCUGGCCGCGGCGGCGUCGGCGCAGAUGUCCCCGAGGUUCUACGACGCGUCGUGCCCCGGGGCGCUGGCCACCAUCAAGAGCGGCGUAGCGUGCAAGCGCACCGUUUCCUGCGCCGACAUCCUCGCCGUUGCCGCUCGCGAUUCCGUCGUCGCGGUAGGAGGGCCGUCAUGGACAGUCUCUCUGGGGAGGAGGGACUCCGACACGGCUAGUGAGACACUGGCCAACCGUGACCUGCCUGCACCAUCACUUAGCGUCACGGACCUCAUCACCCGCUUCGCUGCCAAGGGGCUCAACCACACCGAUAUGGUCGCCCUCUCUGGUGCGCACAUCAUAGGGCGGGUGCAGUGCAAGAACUUGACCAGGCUCUACAGCGAGGAGAACAUUGGCCCGGCCUUGGCGACGUCGCGCCAGGCCACCACUAAUAGAAAACAGGGCUUUGGUUCAGGCCGGGUCAGCCCAUUAGUCCUGGUUCAGUCCAGAACCGGGACCAAUGUGGGCAUUGGUCCCGGUUCGUGA